CAAAUGAUAGUAAAAUAGUAUUUCCAAUAAAAGAAGUUAUGGACCAAAUACACAGGUUUUCACUCAAAAUUUCACAAUAUAUGGCCCCAUUCAUUCUUUCCUUGACACAGAUCACUUGGGGACACCAAGUGAAUGA